rnacentral:tRNA from 1 species
GUGGUACAGCUCAGCAGUAGAGCACAUGCUUAGCAUGCAUGAGGUCCUGGGUUCAAUCCCCAGUACUUACA